ACAAUUAAUUUAGUAAUUCAAAUAGAUAAAUCCAACAUGACCAGAUAAUCAAAUUGGUUCAUUUACAAAAGCUUUCAAUAUUCAUUGAUAUCAAGAUAGACUAAGUAACUAAUGACUCUCAUACUCGCACUCUGCGCUCAUCCCAUCCAUGUCUAUGCAUCCUGCAACUCUGAAGAAAGAAAGAAAAAGAGGGGGUGAGCUUUACAGCCCAGUAAGAAUCCCUACACAUCCAUACCAACACAAUAAUAAUAUGAAUUUGAAAGCCACGACAAAUCGAUGCACAUUUCAUGAAAUCAUAAACCGGCUAUCAAAAGGCUCAAAUAAUCAAUAUAAGUAUGUACGUCGAAUAUCAAUGAAAGUCCAACCACGCAAGAAUGAUACGUCAUACGAUAGCUCAAAAUCUUCAAUUAAUGUUUUCAAUGCUUUUUCUUUCCAUUCUCUAUUAACUUGAUCCGGAUCAAUUAUCUUUCCGACUUUGGGCUAUAUCCCGGUCACGUUUCCGGCCCGUGACGGGGCAAUCGAUAAUAUCACAUUUCCGGCCUGUGACGGGGCAAUCGAUGGUAUCACAUUUCCAGCCUGUGAUGGGGCAAUCGAUAGUAUCACAUUUCCAGCCUGUGACGGGGCAAUCGAUAAUAUCACAUUUCCAGCCUGUGAUGGGGCAAUCAAUAAUAACGAGAUAAGCCCAAAGUCCCUGUUCAUUUAAUCAAUUCACAAACACACAUCCAUUCCCUUUUCCACUUUAUUUCCGGCCUAGACUAACCAUGGUCACGUUUCCGG
rnacentral:lncRNA from 1 species